rnacentral:tRNA from 1 species
UCCUUAUAGCCGGAUUUGAACCAGCGACCUAAGGAUCGCCGUUUAUAUAUCUACAGUCCUCCGCUCUGCCAACUGAGCUAUCG